GAUGAACGCUAGCUACAGGCUUAACACAUGCAAGUCGAGGGGCAGCAUGGUCUUAGCUUGCUAAGGCCGAUGGCGACCGGCGCACGGGUGAGUAACGCGUAUCCAACCUGCCUUACACUCUUGGACAGCCUUCUGAAAGGGAGAUUAAUACAAGAUGUUAUCAUGAGUAAGCAUUUUCGCAUGAUUAAAGGUUUACCGGUGUAAGAUGGGGAUGCGUUCCAUUAGAUAGUAGGCGGGGUAACGGCCCACCUAGUCUUCGAUGGAUAGGGGUUCUGAGAGGAAGGUCCCCCACAUUGGAACUGAGACACGGUCCAAACUCCUACGGGAGGCAGCAGUGAGGAAUAUUGGUCAAUGGACGAGAGUCUGAACCAGCCAAGUAGCGUGAAGGAUGAAGGUUCUAUGGAUUGUAAACUUCUUUUAUACGGGAAUAAACGGAUCCACGCGUGGAUUUCUGCAUGUACCGUAUGAAUAAGGAUCGGCUAACUCCGUGCCAGCAGCCGCGGUAAUACGGAGGAUCCGAGCGUUAUCCGGAUUUAUUGGGUUUAAAGGGAGCGUAGAUGGGUUGUUAAGUCAGUUGUGAAAGUUUGCGGCUCAACCGUAAAAUUGCAAUUGAUACUGGCAGUCUUGAGUACAGUUGAGGUAGGCGGAAUUCGUGGUGUAGCGGUGAAAUGCUUAGAUAUCACGAAGAACUCCGAUUGCGAAGGCAGCUUACUAACCUGU
rnacentral:rRNA from 1 species